rnacentral:SRP_RNA from 1 species
GCCAUGGGGCACGGUGGCACAUGCCUGUAAUCCCAGCUACUAGGGAGGCUGAAGCAGGAGGAUCGCUUGAGCCCAGGAGUUCUGCACUGUGGUGCGCCACGCCAAUCGGGUGUCCGCACUAAGUUCAACCGUCAAUAUGGUGGCUUCCUGGGAGCGGGGAGCCACCAGGUUGCCUAAGGAGGGGUGACCCGACCAAGGUUGGAAAUGGAGCAGGUUGAAACUCCAGUGUUGAUCGGUAGUGGGAUUGCACCUGUGAAUGUCCACUGCACUUCAGUCUGGGCAACAUAGUGAGACCUUCU